rnacentral:rRNA from 1 species
CGGACGGGUGAGUAAUGUCUGGGAAACUGCCUGAUGGAGGGGGAUAACUACUGGAAACGGUAGCUAAUACCGCAUAACGUCGCAAGACCAAAGAGGGGGACCUUAGGGCCUCUUGCCAUCGGAUGUGCCCAGAUGGGAUUAGCUAGUAGGUGGGGUAACGGCUCACCUAGGCGACGAUCCCUAGCUGGUCUGAGAGGAUGACCAGCCACACCGGAACUGAGACACGGUCCAG